UGCGGCAACGUUAGUGGUNUCGUGGUCUGCGACAUCAUGAGAAGUCCAGUGAACCUUAUCAUUUAGAAGAAGGAGAAGUCAUAACAGGGUUUCGUAGGUGAACUUGUGGAAGGAUCAUUA
rnacentral:rRNA from 1 species